GGCUCUGUGGCUUAGUUGGUUAAAGCGCCUGUCUAGUAAACAGGAGAUCCUGGGUCCAAAUCCCAGCAGUGCCU
rfam:Oryzias latipes DNA, scaffold7254, strain: Hd-rR.